UGUGAAUCAGUAGUUCUGAUUCAAAACAAUCAACAGAUAACGUGGCACAGGUGUUUUUUUUCUCCAGACGCUGUUUAUUAUAAUAUCUCUCGUCAAAUAAACACUUGUGAGUUAAUUUGACUCAGGUAUACUAGUGUUUUACUGGUCAACAGCCAAGUGAAAAUGGCUUGGUUAAAUCGACCAUUCAGCCGAAUGGAUUGUUCCGGGCCACUGAUCGACUUUCAAACACCAAAACCACCACAAGAGGGAGCCGUUCACAAUAACCGCAGAACAUGCUGUGCAACAGAUGCUGUAAUGAUCUGAUCCGUGCCUUGUAAACACAGCUCCUCACAGUUUCUUUACUUUCCACAUCUCACGCAACAAUGUAAAAAUAAAGCACCCCUCCACCAUCAUCAUAGUCGCCAUGGAAACCCAAAGGUCUGGGUUGGUGUUUGAUGAUGUGUGCUGUGCUUUAAGGUUA